AGAUCUUCAAUGCACAAUGAAAACUGGAUUCAAAUUAAAGUUAGAUCCCAACUGUAUACUAGAAAGUUGGAUGAGUAUAGAGAAAUUGACAUUAUUAAUGCCUAGUUAUAUCAAGUCAGCAUAAAAUAAUAUUAGAGGCUUAAGUACAUCCUUCUUUGCAACAAACAAAUGUCCUACCCAUCAAUAAGAAUUCCAUUUCCAACCGCCCAAUACCCUGAAAAGUGAAGGGUAAAAACAAAGACUAAACAGUGGAAAGAAAUUUAU
rnacentral:misc_RNA from 1 species